GACGAACGCUGGCGGCGUGCUUAACACAUGCAAGUCGAACGAAGAGGCGCUGCUUUUGUUCGGUGCUCGAGUGGCGAACGGGGGAGUAAAACAUGUGUAUCCUGCCCCUGACAUAGGGGUAAAACCAGGGAAAAGGGGAUAAUACAGGGUAGAAGAUACUGCUCCACAGGGGGGAAUGGAAAGAUUCGGCGGUGGGGGAUGGACUCGCGGCUUAUCAGCUUGUUGGUGGGGUAGUGGAUGACAAAGGCUUUGACGGGUAGCCGGCCUGGGAGGGUGGCCGGCCACCUUGGGACUGCGAUACGGCCCAGUCUCCUACGUGCGGCAGCAGUGGGGAAUAUUGCGCAGUGGGCGGACGCCUGAUGCAGCAGCGCCGCGUUCGGGAUGACGGCUUUCGGGUUGUAAACCGCUUUCGCCUGUGCCGAAGCGUGAUUGACGGUAAUGGGUAAGGAAGCACCGGCUAACUACGUG
rnacentral:rRNA from 1 species